UACGUAGGGUGCUAGCGUUGUUCGGAAUCACUGGGCGUAAAGGGAGCGUAGGCGGAACUGUAAGUCAGAAGUUUAAUGCACAGGCUUAACCUGUACGUGGCUUUUGAUACUGCUGUUCUUGAGUAUGGGAGAGGAUGAUGGAAUUCCAGGUGUAGCGGUGGAAUGCGUAGAUAUCUGGAAGAACACCAGGUGCGAAGGCGGUCAUCUGGCCCAAUACUGACGCUGAGGCUCGAAAGCUAGGGGAGCAAACAGG
rnacentral:rRNA from 1 species